ensembl:snRNA U6 U6 spliceosomal RNA
GUGCUUGCUUCAGCAGCACAUAUACUAAAAUUGGAAUGAUACAAAGAUUAGCAUGUCCUCUGCACAAGGAUGACAUGCAAAUUCGUGAAGCAUUCCAUAUUUAA